rnacentral:rRNA from 1 species
GAUGAACGCUAGCUACAGGCUUAACACAUGCAAGUCGUGGGGCAUCAUGAUGUAGUAAUACAUUGAUGGCGACCGGCGCACGGGUGAGUAACGCGUAUCCAACCUACCCUCCACUCAAGUAUAGGCUUCCGAAAGGGAGAUUAAUCCUUGAUAUCGUCAUUCUCUCUCCUGUUAGAAUGAUAAAAGGACAUCGUUUCGGUAGAGGAUGGGGAUGCGUUCCAUUAGGUAGUAGGUGGUUUAACAGGCCACCUAGCCGAUGAUGGAUAGGGGUUCUGAGAGGAAUAUCCCCCACACUGGUACUGAGAUACGGACCAGACUCCUACGGGAGGCAGCAGUGAGGAAUAUUGGUCAAUGGGCGCAAGCCUGAACCAGCCAUGUAGCGUGAAGGAUGACGGUUUUUUUGAUUGUAAACUUCUUUUCUGUG